rnacentral:misc_RNA from 1 species
GAUGAAGAACGCAGCGAAAUGCGAUAAGUAAUGUGAAUUGCAGAAUUCAGUGAAUCAUCGAAUCUUUGAACGCACCUUGCGCUCCUCGGUAUUCCAAGGAGCAUGCCUGUUCGAGUGUCACGAAUACCAUCAAAUCCCCCUCGUCUUUCUCGGAUGUUGGGGCUUUGGAUUUGGAUGUUUGCCGGGUUUCAUCGGCUCGUCCCAAAUGCAUUAGCUGGAUCCCCUUCCCUUCCGCGGUCCUUUCGGCGUGAUAGUUUCAUCUACGCCGUGCUUGCCGGUUGGAAGGAUGGGCCGCUUCUAAAUGGUCUUCACCGAAGACGAUUCAUCUCAUUUGACCUCGGAUCAGGUAGGACUACCCGCUGAACUUAAGCAUAUCAAUAAGCGGAGGA